rnacentral:tRNA from 1 species
AAAGUAUUUUUAAACUUUUAUUAAAA